rnacentral:lncRNA from 1 species
AGAACAUGGUGGACGCCAGGAACGCCAACUAUGCCACGAUAGUGCGCCACCUGUCGUUUGCCAAGCGGGGGGCGCCCAACGUGGACCUGGACGCAGAGGGCCAGGGUUCUGGCAAAUCCGACAAGCAGCACACCGCCGCCGACACCUACGACAACGGCUCCGACUCCGACACCGAGGCGCCUGAGCCCCGGCUGCUGCGGG